rnacentral:sRNA from 14 species
AGUACUGGAGUACUGGAGUACGGGAGUACGGGAGUACUGGAGUACAGGAGUACUGGAGUACUGGAGUACGGGAGUACGGGAGUACGGAGUACUGGAGUACGGAGUACGGGAGUACGGAGUACUGGAGUACGGGAGUACUGGAGUACGGAGUACUGGAGUACU